GACGAACGCUGGCGGCGUGCUUAACACAUGCAAGUCGAACGGAAAGGCCCUGCUUUCGUGGGGUGCUCGAGUGGCGAACGGGUGAGUAACACGUGAGUAACCUGCCCUUGACUUUGGGAUAACUUCAGGAAACUGGGGCUAAUACCGGAUAGGAGCUCCUGCUGCAUGGUGGGGGUUGGAAAGUUUCGGCGGUUGGGGAUGGACUCGCGGCUUAUCAGCUUGUUGGUGGGGUAGUGGCUUACCAAGGCUUUGACGGGUAGCCGGCCUGAGAGGGUGACCGGCCACAUUGGGACUGAGAUACGGCCCAGACUCCUACGGGAGGCAGCAGUGGGGAAUAUUGCACAAUGGGCGGAAGCGUGAUGCAGCAACGCCGCGUGCGGGAUGACGGCCUUCGGGUUGUAAACCGCUUUCGCCUGUGACGAAGCGUGAGUGACGGUAAUGGGUAAAGAAGCACCGGCUAACUACGUG
rnacentral:rRNA from 1 species